CACGAGGAGUUUGUUUAGAUUGGUCGACUCUGAUGGUGUUCGGGUCAACGCUCUGUGUCCAUCUUUUACCGACCCUCCGAUGGUUGUGGAGGGUUGAAAGAACCCGGAUUUUGACAAAAUGUUGGAAGUAACUGGCGUUCUUAGUAUCGAUGAGGUGACUCGGGGUCUGUUGCAGCUGAUUAGGGAUGAAGACAAGAGUGGGGAAGUGCUCACUGUGACGACGAAACAUGGACUACGUUACGAGAGGUCUAGGUAUGAGUCCGCAAAGCUUUGAAGUGACUCGUGCUGUUCGUUUGAUGAAAAGACAACGUUCACUUUCAAAAUACGGCGCAGUUGGUAUGGGCAUUGACAGACUCAGGAAUAGACUACCGAGUUCAGUUCUACACGGACAAGCAGCAUUCCCUACAAGGCGAGACGACGCACAGACAUCUUUACCGCUUGUUGACCGAGUUUCCUAGAGACAAACUAGAGUUGUAGUCGCAUGCGGAGCUUGCAUUUUUUGUUAUCGAGUCUAGAGAAAGUUUAGCGAUUAUUUCGUCACUGUUAUGUAGUGAA